AGGUUUAGCUGUAUUUAUACACACCCCAUUUAGCCAUACCCUAGGUUUAGCUGUAUUUAUACACACCCCAUUUAGCCAUACCCUAGGUUUAGAUGUAUUUAUACACACCCUAUUUAGCCAUACCCUAGGUUUAGCAGUAUUUCUACAGCCCCAAACAUCAUAAUGUGGCUAUGGGACAGAAGAGCAGAGGGGAGAUGGAGAGAGAGGGAGAUGUCAACAGAGAUAGGUCUGACAGACUAACAUGCAGUUAACUCAAUAUCUUUUCAUUACUGACUUCUCACCAGUGAUGUCAUCAUAACCAGUAACCUUUUCAA
rnacentral:lncRNA from 1 species